rnacentral:lncRNA from 1 species
CUCAGGAGGCUAAGGCAGGAGAAUCACUUGAAGCUGGGAGGCGGAGGUUGCAGUGAGCUGAGAUCACUGCAUUGCAGCCUGCCCAACAGAGCGAGACUCCAUCUCAAAAAAAAAAAAAAAAAUAGACACUGGGGACUCCAAAUUGGGGGAGGGAGAGAGAGGUGAGGGUUAAAAAAUUACCUAUUGGUGCGGGGAGGAGCCAAGAUGGCCGAAUAUGAACAGCUCCUGUCUACAGCUCCCAGCGUGAGCAACGAAGAAGACGGGUGAUUUCAGCAUUUCCAUCUGAGUUAAAAUCCUGGAUAUGGAGUCCGAGAUAUGGAAGGCCAAUUGGCUGCCAAAGAAAUGGGAGAGACAACACGUGCGGUGGCUUCAAAGGAGGAGGGAGAGUUGAGUUUAAACUAAUGAAGUAAAGGCAGGGAUGGGAGACUGAAAGGAAGGAAGACGCUGACACUUCUUCAGUGUGAUUGUAUGCCAUACACUGUGCUGGGUGCUGUUAAUACAACAACGCUUCUGGCUAUGUACUGUUUAACCCCAUUAGAAAUAAAGCAACAGGAGUUCAGAGAAUUUAAGUAACUCGAUUUAGGUCACUCAGCAAUUAGCCAGGCCAGACAUAUACCCAGGCUGAAGGAUGGCCAAGCUCAUUAAGUCAGGCAGCUAGAAUUGAGACCAGUGGUGAAAUAGAAUGAGAGCAUUGAUAUGAACGUGGUUUAUACACUUUUAAGGGCUACGAAGAUCAUUCCAGAGGAAUGAAGGAACAAGGAGAGAAUUGUGUCAACAAAGACUGGCACAUGGCAGGAUUCCACUCACUUUCCACAAACUUUGAAGGAAGAAGUAGCUAAUUGAAUCUGAAGUUUCAUUCACUAGAAACUAAUAGAGAAUUUACAAUAAUUUAUCCUGGAUGGAAAGUAAGAUCCAUCAUGUACAUGUUAGACAAGAGAAGCAUUUGAUCCCUUAUCUUCCUAGUUAACAUUCAUCUUGAACACUGAUUAUGUGAUAGUCUUCCUAAAACAAAUAGCAAGGGGGAUGGGGUUGGGGAGCACACAGAUAACAAAAAAGUUUUGAUGAGCUUUAUGGAGACAGGAGAUAAUUUGUUGAUAUAAAAAUACACCUGUAAUCCCAGCACUUGGGGAGGCUGAGGCGGGCGGAUCACUUGAGGUCAGGAGUUUGAGACCAGCCUGGCCAACAUGGUAAAACCCUGUCUCUACUAAAAAUACAAAAAUUAGCUUGGCGUGGUAGUGUGUGCUUGUAGUCCCAGCUACUCGUGAGGCUGAAGCAGGUAAAUCGCUUGAACCAGUGAGGCAGAGGUUGCAGUGAGCUGAGAUCACACCACUGCACUCCAGCCUGGGCGACAGAGCGAGACUCUGUCUCAAAAAAAAAAAAAAAAGAGACGCUUUUGCAUGUACUUCCUUUCCACCACCAUCUGUCACCUAGGAAAACCUCUACAAUCACAAAGCUUAUCUGAAAAUCUGACUAUAUUCAGGCAAGAUUCAAACCAAGAGAAGUCAAACCUAGAGACACGCGGUUAUGAACUAUAAACUGUUCAUAAGGCCCUGGGGUUUUUCGGACCACUUGUGCCCUAACCAGCCUGUGGGCUCCCAUGUUCAUUAUCCUCCCAAGUGUUAAGGCACAAGGUAUCAGGCAUCAGGCAGUUUUUGUAUUAGGAAGACUAUCACAUAAUCAGUGUUAAAGAUCAAUGUUAACUAGGAAGAUAAGGGAUCAAAUGCUUCUCUUGUUUAACAUAUACACGAUGGAUCUUACUUUCCAUCCAGGAGAAGUUAUUGUAAAUUCUCUAUAUUAGUUUCUAGUGAAUGAAACUUCAGAUUCAAUUAGCUACUUCUUCCUUCGAAGUUUGUGGAAAGUGAGUGGAAUCCUGCCAUGUGCCAGACUUUGUUGACACAAUUCUCUCUUUGUUCCUGCAUUCCUUUGGAAUAAUCUUCAUAGUCCUUAAAAGUUUGUAAACCAUGUUCAUAUCAAUGCUCUCAUUCUAUUUCACCACUGAUCUCAAUUCAGGCAGUUUUUGUUGCACAAAACCUCAGAAACUAAAACAACGAACAUUAUUUGGCACAUGUCUGCAGAGCCCAGCACUGCUCUACAGUGGGCUUGACUGGACAGCUCUGCUGAUCUCGGCUGGGAGCACUGAGGCAUCUGGGGCUUGGCUAUCGCUUGGCCAGUCUAGGCCAGCCUUGGCUGCAGUGACUCAGCUCUGCUCCGGGUGUCUCUCACCCACCUCUGGAAUCAGCGGGCUACCUCAGUCAUGUCAUUCUCACGACGAUGGAAGCAGUGCAAGAGGAAAAGUGAAACAUGCAGGAGCUCUUGAGGCCUAGUCUCCAGACUGGCACACCAUCUUGUCUGCCUUAUUCCACUGACCAACAUAAACCACCAACUUGAGCCCAGAGUCUGGGUAUGAAAGAGCUGCACAGAUGCAUGGCAAUGGACAUGAAUAUAGUGAGGGUGAAGAUGGGGACCGUUACCGGCUCCAGUCACACCUAGUCUGCAAAAGACUUGGCUCACUGGUUGGGCCCAAGAGGUUCCCUGAGGACAAUGACUGUAUCUAUUUAUGUUAUUUCAUCUUUUCAAUCACUUUGCAAAACAAUAUCAUGACUCCAACUUAUAAAAGAGGAUAUCAAGUUUCCAAAACAUGAAGAAAUAAACUACUUAAAAUCAUCUGUCCCUUCACAUUGGAUAGCCCUUGAAAUUGAACUCCAGCACCAUUAUCAGUUGCUAAAGUUCCCGAACCAUUCCAGGGAGGGACCUUCUUAAUGGUCCAAAUCUCAGCCAGGCAUUAUUCUUGUGAUUUCAGGGAGUGCGCGGCUCUGGGCUGAGGCCAUUGAGACUUGUAUUUGAUGGAGAACCAGGCUUUAAGGAGAAGGAAACAGUAUUUUGAAUACAAGGCGCUGCUCUUAUCUUCUAUCAAUAGAUAAAGUUUUGGGAUAUGCACCUUCCACUAAGGCUCACAAAAGGAUUGGCAGCAUUUUGAAAGGGCAAAACAAGUUUUUCUUUCUUUUCCCUCUCUUUUAGGGUGAAGUAGUUGCAUUGAUGGCCACUCUUGGCUUCCUACAGUGAAGUCACCUCAGACUUUGGGGGUUUUUCUACAGAGGUGGAGUCCAGGGCCUUCCUCCACACAUACUGUGCUUCUGCCUACAAUCCACAUCAUACUCUACCCUGUGUGCAUAUCACAUACUGAAGGAACCAAGCUUCAGUUCAGUUUGUUUCCAGCACCUUCAUCUGCUAAUGCCAUGUUAGGCAUGGGAGAUACUAAGAUGAACCAUAAAUGGUCCUUGCCUUUAAAGAGAUUACAGGGUAGUGGGAACAUCAGGAAAAAACAGAAAGGAAAAGAGAAAUGCGAUUGGGUGGCAUAGACUGAAUAGCCAAGGCAGCAUGUAAGAGGCAGUAAGAUCCUCUGGAAUGAUGACUUCGAAGCUAGGAGUUGAAGUACAAGUGGAAAUUUACCAGACGGAAUCUGGAAGAGAGACUUCCAAAGAAAGAGAAGAUGCUGACUCAGUCUUGGCUAUUAAAAUGUCCAUAUUCCAAAAGCAUGAGUAUUGAAUUCAGAUGGCUGUCUAGAAUCCUCCAACAUACUGGACUCAUCCAGGACUCUCUGAGCCUUAGUUGCUUCAUCUGUGAAAUGGGAAUAAUCUUAGGUACCUGACAGCAGUGUGCUGACAACUAAAUGAAAUACAGUUUGUGAAAACAUUUUAUAGGCUAUAAAGUGUAACCUCUGCAG